rnacentral:lncRNA from 1 species
UGAUGACAAUAAAAGCCGAAUUCUAUUAACCACUCGGCUCAAGUAUGUAGCUGAUUAUGUCAGCUGUCCUGAUUUUCCGCCUCAUAGUAAGUCUUUUCUAAGUCUAGAUGAUAGUUGGAAUCUAUUCACUGAAAAAAUAUUCAAAAAAGAUCCAUGUCCUAGUCUACUUGUAAAAAUAGGGAAGCAUAUUGUUCAACAAUGUCAAGGAUUACCUCUCUCAGUUAUUGUUGUUGCUGGACUUCUUGGAAAAAUCGACCCAACGCAUAACAAUUGGAAGAUCGUUGAGAAAAAUCUGAAUUCAUUCUUUGGUACGGUAUCCGAACGGUGCCAAUCAAUUCUUUCUUUGAGCUAUAAUUACUUGCCCCAAUAUUUGAGGACUUGUUUUCUUUAUGUUGGAGGUUUUUCUGAAGAUAUGGAGAUUGAUGUUUCCAAGUUGAUUAGGCUAUGGAUUGCUGAGCAAUUCGUAAAGGUAAGAAACAAUAAAAGGUUAGAAGUGGUGGCAGAGGAGUAUCUACAAGAGUUAAUAGAUAGAAGUCUAAUUUUGGUUGGUAAACAAAGGGCUAAUAGAAGGAUGAAAACUUGCAAAAUUCACGACCUUCUUCGACAACUGUGCAUAAGAGAAGGUCAAACUGAAAAUGGUUUGAAUGUCAUAACUGGGGAUGUCCCCAAAGCCAUAUAUCAUAGUAUGCAGCAUAGCAGUCGUAUAACUCGCACCUUUAUUCCAAUGCCAUCUUUUGGUUUAAUUUUUCCAAAAAGGAUUUUCUCCAUUGUUUUAGAGUUGAAGUUGCUUAAGGUGUUGGACGUAUUAUCAAUUGAAUGCAAUUUCUCUUGUGUAAUACCUCAUCUUAUACAUUUGAGAUAUGUUGCUGCAAGAAUUGAGAAAGCUCUUUCACUAGCCAAAUUGAGAAAUUUACAGACCAUAAUUCUUCAAAGUCUUGAAGAGACGGAGUUGAAGCACCCCGUAGAUAUUUGGACAAUGUCAGAGAUAAGACAUGUGGAUAUUGGAUUGCCACUAUAUAUAUCUAAUCCUCUUGAUGCCGAAAAUCAUAGUAUUGGAGAACAUCCUUUGUUUCUCAAUAACUUGCACACACUUUAUCUUCAUUAUUCUCCUUUUGUUGAGGAAAUCAUAACAAGAAGUCCCAAUCUAAAAAAGCUAAAGAUUUCAGAUAGAUCUGAGCAUCCUAUUUUUGAUUCUCUCAGUCUUCUACAUGAUUUGGAGACACUACAGAUAGCAACCUUUGACCCAAUGAUUUUCUCAGGAGAUAUUUUCCCUCCUAAUCUAAAGAAAUUGAAAUUAUCAUACACUAGAUUACCAUGGGAAGUUGUGAAUUUGCUUGCUAAUUUACCUAGUCUUGAGGUGCUCAAAGGGAAUGAUGCAUUCAAGGGAACAAAUUGGAGACUAGAUGAAGAUGUUGUGUUUCGCAAAUUAAAGCAUUUAAAAAUUGUAGCCGGAGAUCUGCAAAGGUGGGAAGCUGGUAGUGAUAAUUUUCCUAUGCUUGAGCAACUAAUACUGCAUCAGUUGCGUGAUCUGGAGGAGAUUCCCGAGAGUAUUGGAGAUAUAAUGACACUAAAAUUCAUCCAAAUAAACUGUUGCGGCUCUGGUGUAGACACUAGUGCAACGAAAAUUCAAGAAGAGCAACAAAGCUUAGAAAAUUAUGAGCUUCAAGUUCAAAUUACUCCUAUGGUAUGUUCAUUUCCAUCUUUCAUUAUUAGUCAAUUCUUAAUUAAUAUGUUCAUGUGCUCUUUCUAUAGAAGAGUAAUAUUUUUUGUUAUUUCGAAGUUUACUCAAAAGGGUCCACAUUUUUUCAACAGCCUGACUUAGCUCGAGCUACUACGCCUGUUGCUUGGAACAGGUAAUGUAUAACCUUCAUUUUUUCUGAAAAUUAUCAUGGAUUUUCAUUGUUUAGCUUCAAACUCUGUUUUGAGAUUGUUUGAAUUCAAUCUAAAAGAAGCUAUUGGAAGUGAUUUUCUAUGUUAUGUUAUGCUGGUAACUGGGGAAAUUAUUGGGCAGAUAUACUAAAAUAAGAUUCAAAAUGUAUACUCAGAAGAGAGAUAAAAUUAGGAUUGAAGAUAUAAGGCAGAAGGUGCGUAGGUAAUUGAUUGUUGACUCGCUAUCCUGUGGAUAGGCUUGGUGGUAAUUUGGUACAGAGUACUUGUUUCUCUGUUCAUACCAGUAGUAGUAAUAUUAUUCUCAUAGUUUCUUGUCCUACGAUUUUUGUUACUCCCCGUGUUUCAUGUGCUUUGGUUAUCACAUCAUUACUUAAUUUGCUCGGGCAGUUUCUCCCGGACUAGGAACCCUCUCUACUACCUGAAGCCCUGGAGUACUUAAGAAGUAGAAAUUAUAGAUAUGAAAUCUCUGCUUAAAUGUCUCCAUGAAAAUAGAUAGCAAGUGAAUAUUGAAGCAUCGAUAUGAUUACUUACACCGGAGUGUCAAAGCCAGAUGAAGAGUCCAGGCAUUAGAGAUGUUGUAUGAUCAAGAGAAGCAAAACGAAUGAGGCUUGCUAAGCUGUACGCCCCAAUUGCUUACAACAUGUCUUGAACCGUCGACCAAUAUAAUUGGUUAGAGGCGGAGGUGUUUCACCAACUGAGCAAGCAUCACUUGUCUUGCCAAAUAUAUUUUAUACAUAAAGUAUAAUGUUUAGUUGUAUAGUUUAUUCCUAUUUUUAAUGGUUUUCAAACAAUUUUUGCAGCUGGGAUAAGAAGCCUUUAUGGAAUAGGGAGACAGUGAAGGUGCCACUUGUUAGGCGCGUGAUUGAGGUGUCUCGUAGAGCUUCGAAGCUUUUAAAACGUACCCUAAUGGGGUUUGGAAAAGAUCGCCCUAUGUAAAUUGCAGUGUACUGUUUUUAACUAUUUCAGUUAGUUUUAUAAUCAUGUAAGAAAUAUAUAUAUGUUUUGCUUGAAAAUAUCUUCACAUAAUUAAAUAUAUAUAGAUAGUACAUUGAUUAUACACAUAUUGAACAUGGAUUAUACGUAUAUUGUAUAUCCGUCGGCUAUUUUUAGUCUAAUCAGUUUGAUGGACGGAUAUAUAGGUUAAUUAUUCGUAUCUUUCUUCACCUAUUUCUGAAUUAGAUAUACACCUCUUUGUUUAUUUGCACUACCAUUUUCUUCCCCCUCUCCCUCUAUUUAUUUUUCUUUUAUCUUUUAUGGUUAAAAUGUAAAAGUUACACCUAAAUUAUGCGAAAUAGAUUAAUUUUGAACUAUGAUCAAUUCUUUCAUCGAGACUUAAUUCAAAUCACGGUGAUAUUUUCUUGUUCCUAAAUGGGUAUGAUUCAAAUUGUAAACUCACCAUAGAAAAAGGUGUAGAUGAGCAAAAGUCACUUGACUGUAACGAGAGGAGCUCUAGCUUACUCUACUUCCACUGCCGCCUUUACUGUUUUGGCAUACAUAUUUUACUCGACUUUAAUUCUGGGUGGUAUAAGUAGACACUUUUAACUUGUAUAAAAUUGAACAAAUAGAUACAUGUGUCCUAUGUGGAGUCCUACAUGAAGAUUUAUGUCCUACGUGGAGUUCUACAUGUAUUAUGCCAUGUAGAACACAUGUGUCUUCUUCUUCAAAUUUUUAUACAAGUUUAAGUGUCUACUUGUGCACACCCAAAAUUAAGGAACAUAGAUGUCAACUGAAGCCAAGUUAAAAGAGUAUUAUGAGGUUUGAUUAACCAUGAAGUAGUGUAAACUGGCUGCAUUGUGCCAUCAUUAGUCAACAAACCCAUUAGCAAUCCAUCAAUUGCUUAAUUAAAGAUAAUGAUAGUAAAAGUUUAGUGCACUACACCUUAUCUCACAAUUAUAUAAUACAAAUAGUAAAAGUUAGUCCACUACCCCUUAUCUCACAAUUAUAUAAUACAAAAAGAGAUGCCCCAUUGAGAAUAUAGUACUAUUAAUUAAGUGAAAUAAUUUGAUUUACUUGUUGUAUAUGAUUGUGUUCUCAUUUGUCAAUGGAAAUCCAUCAUCUCUUGUAAUUAAACAAAUGAUAAAAGUAAGUACACUAAUCUUUGUCCCCCAUUUAAAAAAAGUUGGAAAUAAAAAAAAGUAAAUCAUUUGGACAAAACCUCUUAGCCUAAUAAUAACAAAGUAAAUUAUUCCAGCAAACUGCAAUAAUUUUUUUGUUAAGAGAAAUGGCUUAUGCUGCUCUUUCUUCACUUCUGUAUACAUUGGAACAACUAUUCAAACCUAAUCAAUCUUUCGUUUGUCGAAGCUACACGCAACAUGUUCAAUCUCUCUAUCAAAAUCUUUCUGCUCUGCAAGAUCUCCUUGACGAUACUACAAAGGAUACUGAAACUCUUAAGGUAUGUAAUUAACUAGUAUAGUUAUCUAAAUCUUACUGAUUUUUUAUAUUUUUUUCAAUAAUAAUUAAUUUACCGAGUUUCAAUUUCAAGGUUAUAGAAAUGAGGAUCAGAAAUGUAGUAUACAAAGCGGAAUAUAAAGUUGAUUUAUGUCUACGAAGGAUCAUUCUAGCAGAUCGUGAGGACAAGCGGGAAAAGGCUUAUACAUCCUUUUAUGAAGAAUUGUUGAAAGUGAAAGGACAAGUUUAUUUUCUCCACAAAGAGGUGAUGCAGAUUAAUGUUAAAAAGCAUGGAAGCAAAUCUGCAGAAUCAGCAACAACUACCUACUCACCAGAAAAAAGUACAAUUGAGGGAAAUACUAUUUUUGGGAUGGAGGAUGACUUCAACAUCAUACUUGAUCGCGUCACUGCCCAAACAGACGAGUUAACUGUCAUACCAAUUUUUGGUAUGGGCGGUAUCGGUAAGACAACUCUUGCCAGAAAAAUUUAUGAUGAUUCAUCUAUUUGUUCUCGAUUUGAUAAACAUGCAUGGGUCACUAUCUCCGAAGAAUACAAUCAGAGACAAAUGCUUCUUGAAGUAGCCUCUUCAAUUACCGGAAGCAAACAAGAAAUGAGUGAUGAUGAACUAAUGGAGAUUGUGUAUAGAGGCCUGAAGGGUAGGAGAUUCCUAAUUGUCAUAGAUGAUAUUUGGAGUACCGAGGCAUGGGACCAAAUGCAAAGAAUAUUUCCAAAUGAUGACAAUAAAAGCCGAAUUCUAUUAACCACACGGCUCAAGUAUGUUGCUGAUUAUGUCAACUGCCCUGAUUUUCCACCUCAUAGUAAGUCUUUUCUAAGUCUAGAAGAUAGUUGGAAUCUAUUUACCGAAAAAUUAUUCAAAAAGAUCACUGUCCUCCUCUUCUAGAAGAAAUAGGGAAGCAUAUUGUACAACAAUGUCGAGGAUUACCUCUCUCAGUGGUUGUCGUUGCUGGACUUCUUGGGAAAAUGGACCCAACACAGGAUAAUUGGAAGAAGGUUGAGGAAAAUCUGAACUCAUUCUUUGGUACGGUGUCCGAACGGUGCCAAUCAAUUCUGUCUCUGAGCUACAAUUACUUGCCCCAAUAUUUGAAGGCUUGUUUUCUCUAUGUUGGAGGUUUUCCAGAAGACAGAGAGAUUAAUGUUUCCAAGUUGAUUAGGCUAUGGAUUGCAGAGCAAUUUGUAAAGGCAAGAAGCAAUAUAAGAUUAGAAGUGGUGGCAGAGGAGUAUCUACAAGAGUUAAUUGAUAGAAGUCUAAUUUUGACUGGUAAACAAAGUUAUAAUGGAAGGAUGAGAACUUGCAAAAUUCAUGAUCUUCUUCGCCAAAUGUGCCUAAGUGAAACUCAUACUGAAAAUGUUGUGCAUGUCAUGAAUGGGAAUGUCCUCGUGUCCUUAUUAAAAGUAAUAGAUGAUCAGCGGCGAGUGAUAGGUCUGUGUAAACAUAAAGAGAAGCAAGUUUAUCCUACAAUGCAUAGCAAUUGUAUAACAAGUAUAGCUCGUACCUUUAUUUCAAAGCCAUUUUUUUACCACACCGGUUUUCCAGAAAGGAUUUGUUCCAUUGUUUCAGAAUUCAAGUUGCUUAAGGUGUUGGACGUAUUAUCACUCUGGUACGAUUUCUCUAGUGUAAUACCUGAGCUUGUACAUUUGAGAUAUGUUG